rnacentral:rRNA from 1 species
UACGUAGGGUGCAAGCGUUGUCCGGAAUUAUUGGGCGUAAAGAGCUCGUAGGCGGUUUGUUGCGUCGGCUGUGAAAUCCCGAGGCUCAACCUCGGGUCUGCAGUCGAUACGAGCAAACUAGAGUGUUGCAGGGGAGACUGGAAUUCCUGGGUGAUAGCGGUGAAAUGCGCAGAUAUCAGGAGGGAACACCGGUGGCGAAGGCGGGUCUCUGGGCAACAACUGACGCUGGAGGAGCGGAAAGCGUGGGGGAGCGAACAGGA